rnacentral:sRNA from 1 species
ACGAGGGAUCGAGAGAUGAAGACCGAGGUAAUCGAAGCAAGCGUGGGAAAAAGGAUCACAGAUGUUGCGGAUGGAUAAUAAACCACACAGGGCAUGAGAGAUGUCCUUAUCCUCAAAAUGGCUGAAAGAGGAGAUCGUGCAAAACUGUACGUCGUGAACGCAUAAGCGGCUCGUUUGUGAUUCCCAAGUACAUGGGGCGAUGAGGUUGCCAAGAAGGCAGACAUGUACAUACA